rnacentral:precursor_RNA from 10 species
AGAAAGCUCCUUGAUCGGAUUAGCUAUCGCAGAGCCUUAUGUACGGGCAUACUGUAAUCAAUCAAACCACUGCCAGACGUAAGGUUUUGCGUUUAGCCUAUCACGGAACAGCAGCUGCGU